CCAUUCCAAUAGGUCAUAGUAAUGAAUACCAUAGACACUUUAGACAAAAAAAGCUUUGCCGUCCCAGACAUACAUGGAAGCAUUCUCGUAUUUCUACAUUCGAUCUAAUUUAGCAAUCUCGUUUGGAGUAUUCCAAGGUUAUUAGAAAGCACAUAAAGUUAGACCAUAAUAUAAUCGGGAUUUCUAGAAUUUUCAAUUUGAUGCAUCGUGCCGACUGCAGGGCAAAAUAGGUAGAUUUUGACAAAACACGCAAUCACUCAUAGUCUAUGACGUCAGUAUUGCUAUAAUUUUCAAUUUAUGUAACGUACCGACUUCUGGGGAAGGAAAACAGAUUUUGGGAAAAGAAGCAACCACUAAUAAUACACAUAAUUAUAGUCUAUAACGUCCAUAUUAAAAAGCAUGGGGAAAGUCAAACAUCAGUCGUACUCGCUUUAUGGUAUAACCUUGUAUUUCUAUUAACCUUGGAGUAUCCGACUUUUUUUAUGGCUCAAAAACUAUACAACUUCAUUUAACGAGCUCGCUAGUGUUAUGUAUGUUAUGUGAAAUAACUAGUAGUUACUUUGUGGACGCCAUCUUUAUUGAGUUUUGUAAUUCCAAUCAUGUCCACUAAGUAUUGUGCUCCAGGGUGUGGAACGGGCUAUGACAACGAGCCACAACAGUCUGGUGCUACGAUCCAUCUGUGGGAGAGAAACUCUGGACUUGAUACCGCCUGGUUAAGAGCCAUUCCAAGAGAAACAGAUCUGAAGAAGAUAGAUUAGCCACCAUCUAAGAGUGCAAAGCUGUGUUCCCUGCAUUUCAACGACUCUGAUUUCAUCUGUGAGUGUAAAAAGAAGUCAGACCCUUGGCAAGGCUCUAAAGAAGAGGUACCUCAAACCAGAUGUAGUACCAUCCCUAUGGCCAAACUGUCCCAACUACCUCUCAACUCCUAAAGCGUCAUCAAGCCCAACUCAAGCUGGGACCAUGUCACGUAGGGCUCAAAAGUUCAAUGAACUACAAUAGCAUACUGUGUUUCACGAAUCAUCAAUUGGAGCACUUAAGUAAUACUCCAAAAAAGACAACAGAACGGAGUUUAAAGUCGAAUUUUCAGAGUUUGUCAGAACUAUGCGGAAUAUCCUAAGCGUCAAGACACCUGGAGUUGGCUACGAAAAGAGAGAUGAGCUUCGGGAACCAAUAUCUGAGAAGAACAAACGUGGCCUCUCUUUCUUGAUAUAUUUAGUUGACUUUAUCAUCGAGUGGCAAAACAGUAAAGCACCUGACCUCACAGCAGAAACCUUCCUAGCAACAAAGCAGACGUGCCUUGGCGCAGCAGAUCUGGCAGAGUAUCUUCUCCUAUGUACUCCUCGGCAUGUUCCAGUCUGAUCCCAUCGAAAGAAGGUUCGCCUGGUACAGACAACUACGUGGGGAUAUCUACUACAUCAGCGUGAGAUAGAUCCUGGAAGCAGAGAAAAAGAUUCGUAUGCGGAGUCUUGUCAAAUUCUCAGGUAUGACUACUUCAGAAAUUAAAGCUCUACUGGACGAAGACCUGGUAAAAGCUAAGCUCAUUUUGACUAACUGGCAACCAGAUGACCUCCAGGAACUAGCUUCCAAGGGAAAGAAUAAUGCUCUCUACUUUGUUGCCGGGUAUAUUGGUUUUUCUUUGAAGAAGAAUAUUAGCUGUACCUUAUGCCAAGAUUUAGUGGUCAUCAGAGACGCACCUCCAUACUCAAUAACCUUCGAUAGCCCAACCAAUCCUGAAAGAGUUAAUCGACAUAAUGAGCAGAGGGGGGUUUUCGACUCCAUCCGACCUUCUCUACCUCUCCUGUCUUUAUACUUACUCUAUGUUCUCUUACAUCACAGCUACUCCUGAAGAGAAAGACAGUUUACUUGGCACCCCAAAUCAUAGAGCUUCAUUUGUUGCCACAUUCAUUGACAGGGCGCAGGACAGUUUAAACUAUGAAAUUAUCAUCGUUGUGUGAGUAUAAUGCAUGGAAGGACACUCCUAGUUAGCUUUUCUUCAAAGAAUUUCAUUCGCUUUGUUUAAUGUCAUGGGUAAAAAUUUAUGUGCUAAACUGAUUGCUGACAUCCGAAUUAUAACAAAAAAGAAAAUGGCAGCUAAGAA
rnacentral:misc_RNA from 1 species